rnacentral:rRNA from 1 species
CAGCAGCCGCGGGAAUACGGAGGGUGCAAGCGUUAAUCGGAAUUACUGGGCGUAAAGCGUGCGCAGGCGGUUAUAUAAGACAGAUGUGAAAUCCCCGGGCUCAACCUGGGAACUGCAUUUGUGACUGUAUAGCUAGAGUACGGCAGAGGGGGAUGGAAUUCCGCGUGUAGCAGUGAAAUGCGUAGAUAUGCGGAGGAACACCGAUGGCGAAGGCAAUCCCCUGGGCCUGUACUGACGCUCAUGCACGAAAGCGUGGGGAGCAAACAGGAUUAGAUACCCCAGUAGUCCCUGUCUCUUAUAC